AUUGAACGCUGGCGGCAGGCCUAACACAUGCAAGUCGAACGAGUGGCGGACGGGUGAGUAAUGUCUGGGCAACUGCCUGAUGGAGGGGGAUAACUACUGGAAACGGUAGCUAAUACCGCAUACCAUCAGAUGUGCCCAGAUGGGAUUAGCUUGUUGGUGGGGUAACGGCUCACCAAGGCGACGACCCCUAGCGGGUCUGAGAGGAUGACCAGCAACACGGGAACUGGAACACGGUCCGAACUCCUACGGGGGGCAGCAGUGGGGAAUAUUGGACAAGGAGCGCAAGCCUGAGGCAGCAAGGCCGCUUGUAUAAGGAAGGCCUUCGGGUUGUAAGGUACUUUCAGCGGGGAGGCGUUACCCGCAGAAGAAGCACCGGCUAACUCCGUGCCAGCAGCCGCGGUAAUAC
rnacentral:rRNA from 1 species